GAUGAACGUUGGUCCGGGUGCCUAAUACAUGCAAGUCGAACGGAGUUAGUAGCAAUACUGGCUCAGUGGCGAACGGGUGAGUAACGCGUUGGUGAUCUGCCUUGAAGUGUGGAAUAACGUUUCGAAAGGAACGCUAAUACCGCAUGUGCUCUCGAUUUUCAGAAAGUUGAGAGUAAAGGAUUUAUUCGCUUCAAGAGGAGCCUGCGUCCCAUCAGCUGGUUGGUAGGGUAACGGCCUACCAAGGCUAUGACGGGUAGGGGACCUGAGAGGGUGGCCCCCCACAAUGGAACUGAAACACGGUCCAUACACCUACGGGUGGCAGCAGUAGGGAAUAUUAGAAAUGGACGAAAGUCUGAUCUAGCAACACCGCGUGUGCGAAGAAGGCCUUCGGGUCGUAAAGCACUUUUUGGAAGGAAUAGGAAGGAAUGUACUUCCAGAAUAAGUCUCGGCUAACUACGUG
rnacentral:rRNA from 1 species